CGAGCGAGACCUCUAUUGAUAGUUGCAACUGGUUUAGCGAUAAGCCAAGCACUCUAUCAGGACCGCCUCUGUUUAAAGAGGAGGAAGGAAGAGGCGACGACAUGUCAGUAUGCCCCAAAUCUCCUGGGCUACACGCGGCAUACAAAGGUUGGUACAAUGAGACGCAAUGCCGAAAGGCAGAGCAAAUCCCCUAAAACCAAUCCAAGUCCGGAUUGAGGGUUGAAACUCACCCUCAUGAAGCUGGAAUCCCUAGUAAUCGCUUGUCACUAUCGAGCGGUGAAUCUGUCCCUGCUCCU
rnacentral:rRNA from 1 species